GUGUUCAAUGAUGAUGAUGUGUUGGUGCCUGAUUUCCUUGUGGUCAAUGAAGGCAUCUAUAGUCACUACCUCUUCUGAGAUAC